AGAGUGCUAAGGAUUGAGGGAUUAAGAGGAGGUGAUUGUAUUAUUCCUCUUUUCAGAUAAUGGAGAGAGAGAAGAGAACAGCAGUAGCCGUUGCCAGAAAUAUUGAGCAAGGCGGAUUUAUUAGAUGAAGAUAUCAAAAUACUUUCCAUUGAGGAAACAGGUUGGAGGUGGGAGGCUGUAACCAUGCUUGAUUUUGUACCACCCUAACCUUUGCUUUCAUGUGGUGUUAGCACGGAGAUGAGAAAGAGAGAAAGACAACAUCAUGCUUUGCUGUCUGUGUGUGAACUGAGUAACAGCUGUGAAGGAUCAGUCACCAAAAGACUUUGAAAGAAGAGGCUUGAUUGGUCACGGUAAUGAUGCUCCCCUGGCCAUGGAAGUUUAAUUGGGAGAAAAGAACAUCUGCUUAUACGAAAACAUAUUAUAUUCAGCCAUCCCUGCCCUGACUUUGGCCUUUAAAAACAGUGGCAUUAAUUAUCUCAACAAAUGAAUCUUCGGGAUAAAAAUAAUCUAAAUAUUAUUUUACGCUUACUACAUAUUUGCAACGUGCUAAGCUCUUUAUGGUUGCUACCACAAAAAACAUUUAUAAUAUGAGGUUGUUUCCGUAUUUUGGCUAUUGUGAAUAGUGCUGCAAUAAACAUGGAAGUGCUGAUAUAUCUUUGAGAUCUUGACUUCAAACAAAAGAAGAAAAUCUUGCAAUAUAUGACAACACGGAUUAACCUGGAGGACAUUGUGCUUAGUGAAGUUAGCCAGUCACAGACUGACAAGUACUGCACGAUUCCACUUAUGAAGACUACAGUUCCUAUCUUCACAGGUGGCUGUUAGCUCUAAAUGAACUCAUUUAUUUUGAAAGCAUGAUUUAAAGUAUAGUUUUAAACUAUAAGCAUUUCAGAAGUGAUGACCCAUGACUCAAAUCUCAAAAAUAAAUGCUACAGUUCACAGUUGGAAUAUGGACACAAGAAAAAUAAUAGAUGAUGCCACUGAAAGGUAAACAUACCAUUCUGACAUGCAUGAAAAUGAAACGACAAAUUGAUACACGCAGUGCUUGGAAUGGAUGGAGUCCUUCUAAUGAGUGAUUACCUGUGGUAUAACUAUAUUGAUUGUGUUUGUACAUGUCAAAUGGGGCUGGCGAGGAUGAACUUGAAGAAAUCAAUCUUGGAACCUGCUAGGACAGCAGCCUCCUGGUUUCACAGUACUAAAUCAUGACUUCAAAAUUUUGAAGUAAAAGAAAACUGCAAAACUUUGUAAA
rnacentral:lncRNA from 1 species